rnacentral:rRNA from 1 species
UACGGGGGGGGGCAAGCGUUGUUCGGAAUUACUGGGCGUAAAGGGCUCGUAGGCGGCCAACUAAGUCGGAUGUGAAAUCCCCAGGCUUAACCUGGGAACUGCAUCCGAUACUGGAUGGCUUGAAUUCGGGAGAGGGAUGCAGAAUUCCAGGUGUAGCGGUGAAAUGCGUAGAUAUCUGGAGGAAUACCGGUGGCGAAGGCGGCAUCCUGGACCGACAUUGACGCUGAGGAGCGAAAGCGUGGGGAGCGAACAGG